GCAGACACAUUCCAGCCAAUCAGCAGCAGACCCUCCCUCCCAAACCCUCCCACCUCCUGGACAGCAUCCAUUGUGAAGCUGCAUUCUUAGUGAGCUGUCCAGGAGGUGGGAGGGUCUGGGAGGGAGGGUCUGCUGUUGAUUGGCUGGAAUGUGUCUG